UAAAACGCUCCAUGGAAACUGAAUUUCC
rnacentral:sRNA from 1 species